UAAGGACCGGCAUAACUUCGGGAAACUGAGGGUAAAACCGGAUAGAGUAAAGCCACUGGAAGGUGCUUUACUUCAAAUCAUAUGGCCUUAGGAUGGGCCUGCGGCAGAUUAGCCUGUUGGUAGGGUAAUGGCCUACCAAAGCUAUAAUCUGUACGGGCGAUGGGAGUCGUAGCCCGGAGAGGGGAACUGAGACAAGGUCCCCAGCCCUACGGGGUGCAGCAGUUACGAAACCUCUACAAUGCGCGAAAGCGUGAUAGGGGAACUCCAAGUGAUUGCUCUUUGAGUAAUCUUUUGCCAAGUGUAAAUAACUUGGCGAAUAAGGACUGGGCAAGACCCGUGCCAGCCGCCGCGGUAAUACGGACAGUCCUAGUGGAAUCCACGAAUAUUGGGCUUAAAGCGUUCGUAGCUGGUUAGGUAAGUCUUUUGUGAAAUCCCAUGGCCUAACUGUGGGAAGUGCAGAAGAUACUGCCUGACUUGGAGACGGGAGAGGUCAGAGGUACUUAUGGUGUAGCGGUUAAAUGCUGUAAUCCCAUAAGGACCAUCGGUAGCGAAGGCGUCUGACUGGAACGUGCUCGACAGUGAGGGACGAAGGCCAGGGGAGCGACAGGGAUUAGAUACCCCUUUAGUCCUGGCUGUAAAGGAUGCAGACUAGGUGUCGUGCAACCCUAGAGGUUGUGCGGUGCCGAAGGGAAACCAAUAAGUCUGCCGCCUGGGGAGUACGAUCGCAAGAUUGAAACUUAAAGGAAUUGGCGGGGGCGCACACCAGGGGUGGAGGCUGCGGUUUAAUUGGAUAAAACGCCGGACAUCUCACCGGGAUCGACGGUAGAAUGAAGGUCAGUCUAAAGGGCUUACCAGACAAGCCGAGAAGUGGUGCAUGGCCAUCGUCAGCUCGUGCUGUGAAGUGUCCUCUCAAGUGAGGUAACGAGCGAGACCCAUGCCAUUAGUUACUAAGUGUAUCAUUACGAUGCACAGGACUCUAAUGGGACUGCCAGUGCUAAACUGGAGGAAGGAGUGGGCAACGGUAGGUCAGUAUGCCCUGAAUUUCCCGGGCUACACGCGGCCUACAUUGGUAGGCACAACGGGAUGCAACUCCGAAAGGAGAAGCUAAUCCCUCAAAACCUGCCCAAGUGUGGAUUGAGGGCUGCAACUCGCCCUCAUGAAAAUGGAAUCCCCAGUAAUCGCGGAUCACUAUUCCGCGGUGAAUUUGUCCCUGCGCCUUGCACACACCGCCUGCCAAGCCAAUCAAGUGGGGCUUUGGUGAGGCCUGGUCCUUAGGGCUGGGUCGAGCCUAGGCUUCGUGAGUCGGGCUAAGGCAUAACAAGGUA
rnacentral:rRNA from 1 species